UACUUUAUCUCUUCAUACCUCUCGCUCUCUGUCUCUCUUAGAUUCCUCGUCGUCCUUCUUCUUCUUUUUCCACUUUUCUCCAUUGGAAGGUGAAAAGGACACCAAUCUUGAUGAUCCAGAGGCGAAGAUCUUUAUCUUCAUCUAUUCUCUCCGCUUUUGCACAUCCUAGAUCCUACUAAUUCCAAUAUCUGUAUCGAAGAUAAUCUCUCUUUCUUAUUUUUUUCUUUUGGGGGCGGCAUCCGGCCUCCGGUUAGGCUAGCUCAAGCCACUUCGUUUUCUUAUGGUCCAUGUAUUAGAUGUCAUAUCUUUGAAAGGGAAAAAAGAGAGUUUGCGUCGUAUAUCAUACAUGUAAGAUUGGCAAAUCUAGAGUUUGUUCCGUAUCCCACGUGCUUGUGCUUGUUCUAAGUCUUGAAACAAAGACUACCCUUCCUCCGGUCCUCAAAGCCGGGAUUUCGACUGGCAACAAGGAAUCGCCGCACGCAAAGUCAUUUUUUGCAGAUGCAGCAUCACCAAGAUUCACAUCGAUCCGAUCGCCAUGGCCUGGCGUGUGUAGAUCGUUUGUUCUUGGCAGUUGGCGCAAUUCGCUGAUGAUGAGAAUCUUGAUGAUGCUGCAUCAGCAAUACAUGACUAUAUCCCACAGUUCAAGAAGCUGAUUUUUGUUGGGACAAAAAGUUCAAGAAGCUGCUUGGUAAUUGCUGAACGCAGACGAGGGGAGGGGACUAGUCAGAAGUAUGAACAAGGGCAUAUUUUGAUGUCAGAAACGGUGACAGUUUUCCUUCCUUUUUCCCCAAUUUUUGCUCUGAUUAAAUGAUAUGAAGAUACAUAUUACCUGUUGGCUUAUACUUUCUAGAGAUUCUGGUAUGAAUUUCAUCAACUGCCAUGACUGAAUUAGGGUUUCUUUUCUUCCUUUUAAAGCUUCUAGGCAAUCCCAAAAUGGGGAGUAUUUUUCAGGUAAAACGUUUACACGCCCACACGAACAUUCUUCUCAAACUAGAGCCUAAAAAGCCUGUGUCAUCGAGCGUUUAGCUUCUUAUGGCACUUAAUUGUCAUAAUCUUACUACGUCUUGUAAGAUGCAGUUAUAUGUGCACCUAUGGUGAAACUCUGGCUGUGAUACUAUGACAAUGGAGUUCAGAUCGAAAGAACAGUUUUAUCAGGCGUUCGGCUAGGAAGAAAAAUGGACACUGAGGUUUGUUCUGGACAAAGAGCAACGCAUUUGCUCUCAGAGAUGGUCAGGUCACCUAUGUGUAGAAUGCGUUUACAGUCAUUCUCUCUCUUUUGGCAGGCGGUAUUUUAUGUUAAUUUUCACGCGCCGGAUCAAGUUCACUUUGGAUAUUCUCUCAGAGACUCGAGCACAAGUCAUUCAGUCCCAGUGGAAUGAUCUCGAAGCGACAUCACAUCAAAAAUCGAACCAGAGACCUCGAAAAACAUCUUGGGUUCUUCAUCCACCAACAGUUGGAGAAUAAGAACCCUAGGAGUUGGAUGACUUUCAUUAGGGUCAAGUAAAGGUUGAGACAAAAACCGUACGAAUGUAGCAAAGAUUUGCCUGCUCGUACAUCAACCAGAGUCAUUUCAUUCAUAUAUAGGAUUCGUCGUGGAUUUAUGUUUUUCCUAUAAAAGGCGGUUCUGCACAUGAUUAAAACAUGGUUUAUGGUGAGUCUGUGUUGUACCUACAAUACCUGGUUACUUUUGUCGAGUAAAACCACAUUUGAAUAAACCAUGAGAGUAUAAUUUAUUUGCC